UACGUAGGGUGCAAGCGUUAAUCGGAAUUACUGGGCGUAAAGCGUGCGCAGGCGGUGAUGUAAGACAGGUGUGAAAUCCCCGGGCUUAACCUGGGAACUGCAUUUGUGACUGCAUUGCUGGAGUACGGAAGAGGAAGGCGGAAUUCCCGGUGUAGCGGUGAAAUGCGUAGAUAUCGGGAGGAACAUCAGUGGCGAAGGCGGCCUUCUGGUCCAGUACUGACACUCAAGUGCGAAAGCGUGGGGAGCAAACAGG
rnacentral:rRNA from 1 species